AAUCCAAGCAUCGAACAUUUCCAGAGUAAUUCUUUAAAUCAUUCCCAAGCUUCAUAUAGCGUUUCAUCCUCUAAUUGUCAAAAAGAUGUGAUAUCAUUUCUAAGCUU
rnacentral:snoRNA from 1 species